GUGUGACCAUAUGGCUGGAGGAGGCUGGAAUUGUUUAUUUCCUUUGUUCCACAGGAAGACUAGAGCCAGCUGGAGUUGGUAAUUUUACUUCCUCCAAGUUCGUUAGGCACUGAUGAAACCCCAGCAGUUUAGGUUCUGGUUAAAUAGUUUCUCCUGAGGGCAGACUUUGUUAAGAAGAAUACAAUGCUCUGGCAUAUUUCAAAAUGGCACUUUUCCCUCCCUUGCUGUAAGCAUGGGGGCAUUUUUAAAAAUCUGCUAUUUGCUUUGAUAAACUGGUGGAGCUCUAGCAGGUAAAACUCGCAAAAGUAGGGGGCCCCUCAAUAACUGAAUCCCUCUGAAGUUUCAAACUCUCUGACUUGUCCACAUUGAGCUUCCAGCAAUUUGUUAAUUACAGUUCAGGUUUUUCCAGUUUGGCACUGGUUCCCUUGGAGGUUUCUGCUCAUGGGUUUCUGCUCUGCAGGUGAAAAUAUUGUGCCACUUCCUUAUAACCUCCAAAGUGUCUGAUGUGAAAUUGCUGUCAUUAGCAUGGAUUAUUUUCCCCCUAUAGUCAAAAGACACCGAAGGUCGUCGACACAGCAUCCAAAAAUGCUUCCUGGGGAAGAUGGACCAAGACGCUGCCGCGACAGGCUCCAAGAGGAAGAGUGGUAGCAGGCUAUAACACAGAGGAUAAUCUUGUCUCCAAAAGAGCAGAUUGGAUUUGAUGAGACUUAGCAAACCAGCCAUUCACCUGGGCAAGAUUGUCAAAAUUCAAACUUGAAUUGUGCAUAUUUUGAUGUGGAUGUUUUGAUGAGGCCUUUGGAAUCAGCAUGUACUUACACACACAAAGCAUCUUGAUUCAGAUGAGCCAUAUUUUGACUCCUUAGUAGCCACAGGAAGGUAGUGGCUCUGCUAUUGGACAGCACUGACCUGGGCUUUGGAGCCAAUAGAACAGGAAAUAUAUCUCCCUUGACAAUUGUAAAAAAAGAAAAUCUCAUGCAAAACCACUAAAUUCUUUGAUGAUCUCAUUUUUUAUUACAGGUUUUGUUUCUUUUUGAGUCAAUCUUUUCCUAGAUAUUAGUCUAUUCCAUUGAGAUUUUCAAAUUAUGUAUUUAAUAUUUGACAAUUUAUUCUUCUUUGAUCUAAAAACUCUCAUGCUUGUGGUUAUGUCCUAUUUUCCAUUCCUAAUUUCAUGAGACUAAGAGAUGUUAUGGCUAUACACUGUAACAAUAUGUUACUGAAGGAAAUAUACACAAGUCUCUUUUGGGGGCACUAAUUAUGAAUCUAUUU
rnacentral:lncRNA from 1 species